rnacentral:snoRNA from 1 species
UGGAAUGAUGAAAUAGAGAUAAUUGGGUGUUGAGUGUUGUAUGAUUUGAAAUUAUUAAUAUUUGUUAUGUAAUUAGUAUAAGUUUAAAAUUUUCUGUAAUUGUGUGUGUGUGUGUGUGUGUGUGUGUACAUGUGGAGGCUAUGGAAAGGGGGCACUGACAGGUGAUGCUGAUAUUGGAGUGCAUCUGAGGCUGUUGUAGAAAUACAUGGGUGUUGAUUACAACAUUGCCUGUGAUUAUAACCCAAGAACAGCUCACCUAACAAGCCUAGCACCCUAAAAUCUCUAACAGGUUCACUAAACCUGGUCCUGUGAUCUGAUCCAG